rnacentral:lncRNA from 1 species
GUUUUAAUUGAUUAAGUCAUAUCAUUCGAUUGCUUUCUGUCACCGACAUCGUCAUCUUCACUACAUUGUGCCAGAACCUAUUUUCGUAUCUGCGUGGUUGUGUUCUUGUUUGGAUUGUCUAUUUGAUUGGUUGUGCUUUUACAAUGAGCGUCAGAAUUGUUGACCCUAAAAUAAUUGCCGUGGGUAUCAUAACCACACGGUAUGCUACAAGGUUGUUUAAGUGUGUCAUGCAUCCAGUGCUUGUAUAAGU